UUCCUACGGGACGCAGCAGUGAGGAAUAUUGGUCAAUGGGCGAGAGCCUGAACCAGCCAAGUCGCGUGCAGGAAGACGGCUCUAUGAGUUGUAAACUGCUUUUGUACGAGGGUAAACGCAGAUACGUGUAUCUGUCUGAAAGUAUCGUACGAAUAAGGAUCGGCUAACUCCGUGCCAGCAGCCGCGGUAAUACGGAGGAUUCAAGCGUUAUCCGGAUUUAUUGGGUUUAAAGGGUGCGUAGGCGGUCGGAUAAGUUAGAGGUGAAAUCCCGAGGCUCAACUUCGGAAUUGCCUCUGAUACUGUUG
rnacentral:rRNA from 1 species